rnacentral:lncRNA from 1 species
AACUUCCGUUUUGAGGGAUCUACCUCGAAAAGUAAGGGCAAUCAGGGCAAAGGUGGUCUUUCUUUCAUGAAUGGAGAAAGUGUGGGUCAGGUGGCAAACGAAAGUAAUCUCUGUGUCUGUCUACCUGCCCCAGACUGUGUAUGGACUAGCUAUAGCAACCCUACUCUAGCUGACUUGGCUAAAGUGGUGGUUGACAUAGAAUGUUUGAGUAACCA